AAAGGUAUUAUCUAAGUGAGUUUCAGAGAUAGUCCGAAUAUGAAUGUCAUCUGUUACAAGCAAGUUAUUGACUUAAUGGACCUUGUUUCCUAGGCUACAUAUGUUAAUAUGGGCUAUUUUUAGCACUUUUCCGGGUUGCUUGAUUGGUAAGCUUCCCAGUAAAGCAUUAAAAACAGACUUACUCAUGAUAUUUACAUUGGAGCUGAUAGUUCAGGGUGAGCUGCAUAAAGUGGUCUUCCUACUAUUGCACACCGCCUCAGUGCUAACAUUGUAACUCUGGUUUAUAGACUAUGAUUACUGCUUACAAUAGCUGUAGGAUAAACAGAUGUAUUCGGUGCAAUUAGGGGUACAUAAAUUAAAUUACUUACAUUGUGUCUGCCAAUGCCCCUACAUUUGAUGCAGCAUUAUGACGACUCAUUGUCACAAUGGUAGGGAUUAACUGAGCAGGUCUUGGAUCAUUUAUAUCUGGAGUAUUUCUCAUAUCUUAUCAGGUGUCCUGUGUGAAUUUAAGUAUGCUCCCUCUAAUUCUCUUUCUCUCUCUUUCUCUCUCUCUUCUCUCGGAGGACCUGAGCCCUAGGACCAUGCUUCAGGACUACCUGGCCUGAUGAUUCCUUGCUGUCCCCAGUCCACCUGGCUAUGCUGCUGCUCCAGUUUCAACUGUUCUGCCUGCGGCUAUGGAACCCUGACCUGUUCACUGUCUUCCGAGUGGCGCAGCGGUCUAAGGCACUGCAUUUCAGUGCAAGAGGCAUCACUACAGUCCCUGGUUCGAUUCCAGGCUGUAUCACAUCUGGCUGUGAUUGGGAGUCCCAUAGGGCGGGGCAUAAUUGGCCCAGCGACUUCUGGGUUUGGCCGGGGUAGGCUGUCAUUGUAAAUAAAAAUGUAUUCUUAGCUG
rnacentral:lncRNA from 1 species